UACGUAGGGUGCAAGCGUUAAUCGGAAUUACUGGGCGUAAAGCGUGCGCAGGCGGUUGCGUAAGACAGAUGUGAAAUCCCCGGGCUCAACCUGGGAACUGCAUUUGUGACUGCACAGCUGGAGUGCGGCAGAGGGGGAUGGAAUUCCGCGUGUAGCAGUGAAAUGCGUAGAUAUGCGGAGGAACACCGAUGGCGAAGGCAAUCCCCUGGGCCUGCACUGACGCUCAUGCACGAAAGCGUGGGGAGCAAACAGG
rnacentral:rRNA from 1 species